rnacentral:piRNA from 1 species
UUGGAUAAUUUUACUUAAAAA